rnacentral:rRNA from 1 species
CCUACGGGUGGCAGCAGUGAGGAAUAUUGGUCAAUGGCCGGAAGGCUGAACCAGCCAAGCCGCGUGAAGGACGAAGGUGCCAAGCAUUGUAAACUUCUUUUGUCAAGGGACAAAAUCAGGCUCGAGAGCCUGACCGAGGGUACCUGACCAAGAAGCCCCGGCUAACUACGUGCCAGCAGCCGCGGUAAUACGUAGGGGGCAAGCGUUAUCCGGAUUUACUGGGUGUAAAGGGGGCGCAGACGGCAAUGCAAGCCAGGAGUGAAAGCCCGGGGCCCAACCCCGGGACUGCUCUUGGAACUGCAUGGCUGGAGUACAGGAGGGGCAGGCGGAAUUCCUAGUGUAGCGGUGAAAUGCGUAGAUAUUAGGAGGAACACCGGUGGCGAAGGCGGCCUGCUGGACUGUGACUGACGUUGAGGCCCGAAGGCGUGGGGAGCAAACAGGAUUAGAUACCCCUGUAGUC